CAGUGGCUUCACCUGAAUAUUCAUGAUCUUACUAUUCCCAGUGCUUCAGUGUAGCAGCUGUUUGAAAUCCACAGCAAAUGUUCAAGAGAGUUCCACAAAUAUAAACACCCUCACAGCUGAAUGUUUGGGGCCUGUGCAUCGCAGAGGAGAGACAUGAAACAUUUAUGUGGAGUGAUUUUUGGAGGACGGCAUUUACAAAGCUUAAAUAGUCCUUGCACAUUUGGGAGCACUUCACUGUGAUUGGGACAUUACCAUGGAGGACAAAGAGUCUGGAAGAGCCUACAGCCCACAAAGAUGUUACACGCGCCUCUAUGUGAUAAUUCAGCGUAACAGAGGAUUCCUGUGAAAUUCCAGAUUCAGAGUCAAACCUAGGCAACUGCAAUACAAGUUCAGGACUGGGUCUCCCUUUUCCUUAUGGAGUUUUCCCUGCUUCUCAAAUUGAAAUCCACGUGUGGACAGACAGACUUCUGAUGGAAGAGGAGGAAUAGAAAAAAUAUAAACUGGGCACACAACAACAAAAAUUGUUUCCCAUCAGCUAAACCUUCCAAACUGGAGAUUUUGGCGUGACUUGGCCCCGCCAUUUUUCACAGGACUCGUUUUAAUACAUUGGUGGAUUUGACAUAACAGCAACAUUAAGUUACAGUUAAUUAGCUAAAAUGUAGUCAAGUUACAGUAAAUGUUAGCCUAGACAUUGGAAAUACAUAUAUGCAUGUGUAUACAUAUGCUGUAUACACAAAUAUACUAGUUACAGGAUUAGCACCAGUUAAGACCUUCCAUAAACUAUUGAAAAUGA